rnacentral:lncRNA from 1 species
UCAAGUAACAAGCAGUUUGUUGAAUGAGAAGUUGAGAAGAAAGAGUUCAGCAACAUCUCAGAAUGAUUCACAAGCACUUAUCUCAGAGAACAGAGGAAGGUCAAAGUCUAGAAGCAGUUCAUGUAUGGGUAGGAGCAAGUCAAGAUCAAGAAAAGAUAUUGUUUGUUAUAACUGUGGUGAGAAAGGACAUUACAAGAACCAAUGUAAGCAACCUAAGAAGAAUAAG